CCUCAGUGAUGAUACGAUGACGAGUCAGAGUGGACGCCCCACGUGUGGAGUUCCUGAUCACUGGCACGUUCUGUGUCCGUGUUCCUGGUCGCUCCACACGUGAAGUCCUGUAUAGUGAUUGAACUUGAGGCAUUUGUCUGAGAGGG
rnacentral:snoRNA from 1 species